rnacentral:rRNA from 1 species
GACGAACGCUGGCGGCGUGCUUAACACAUGCAAGUCGAACGGACAGACAGAGAGCUUGCUCUCUUGAAGUUAGUGGCGAACGGGUGAGUAACGCGUAAUCAACCUGCCCUUCAGAGGGGGAUAACAACGGGAAACCGUUGCUAAUACCGCGUACGAUUCAAGAACGGCAUCGUUUAUGAAUGAAAGAUGGCCUCUAUGUAUAAGCUAUCGCUGAAGGAGGGGAUUGCGUCUGAUUAGCUAGUUGGAGGGGUAACGGCCCACCAAGGCAAUGAUCAGUAGCCGGUCUGAGAGGAUGAACGGCCACAUUGGGACUGAGACACGGCCCAAACUCCUACGGGAGGCAGCAGUGGGGAAUCUUCCGCAAUGGACGAAAGUCUGACGGAGCAACGCCGCGUGAGUGAUGAAGGUCUUCGGAUUGUAAAGCUCUGUUAAUCGGGACGAAAGAGUUCUGCGUGAAUAAUGCAGAAAAGUGACGGUACCGGAAUAGAAAGCCACGGCUAACUACGUGCCAGCCGCCGCAGUAA